GAUGAACGCUGGCGGCGUGCCUAAUACAUGCAAGUCGAGCGAACGGACGAGAAGCUUGCUUCUCUGAUGUUAGCGGCGGACGGGUGAGUAACACGUGGAUAACCUACCUAUAAGACUGGGAUAACUUCGGGAAACCGGAGCUAAUACCGGAUAAUAUUUUGAACCGCAUGGUUCAAAAGUGAAAGACGGUCUUGCUGUCACUUAUAGAUGGAUCCGCGCUGCAUUAGCUAGUUGGUAAGGUAACGGCUUACCAAGGCAACGAUGCAUAGCCGACCUGAGAGGGUGAUCGGCCACACUGGAACUGAGACACGGGCCAGACUCCUACGGGAGGCAGCAGUAGGGAAUCUUCCGCAAUGGGCGAAAGCCUGACGGAGCAACGCCGCGUGAGUGAUGAAGGUCUUCGGAUCGGAAAACUCUGUUAUUAGGGAAGAACAUAUGUGUAAGUAACUGGGCACAUCUUGACGGGACCUAAUCAGAAAGCCACGGCUAACUACG
rnacentral:rRNA from 1 species